rnacentral:rRNA from 1 species
CCUACGGGGUGCUGCAGUGAGGAAUAUUGGUCAAUGGACGAGAGUCUGAACCAGCAAAGUAGCGUGAAGGAUGACUGCCCUCUGGGUUUUAAACUUCUUUUAUAAAGGAAUAAAACGAGGCACGUGUGCCUUUUUGCAUGUACUUUAUGAAUACGGAUCGGCUAACUCCGUGCCAGCAGCCGCGGUAAUACGGAGGAUCCGAGCGUUAUCCGGAUGUAUUGGGUUUAAAGGGAGCGUAGAUGGGUUGUUAAGUCAGUUGUGAAAGUUUGCGGCUCAACCGUAAAAUUGCAAUUGAUACUGGCAGUCUUGAGUAUAGUUGAGGUAGGCGGAAUUCGUGGUGUAGCGGUGAAAUGCGUAGAUAUCACGAAGAACCCCGAUUGCGAAGGCAGCUUACUAAACUGUGACUGACAUUGAUGCUCGAAAGUGUGGGUAUCAAACAGGAUUAGAUACCCGAGUAGUC